rnacentral:rRNA from 1 species
GAUCCUGGCUCAGGAUGAACGCUAGCUACAGGCUUAACACAUGCAAGUCGAGGGGCAGCAUGGACCCAGCUUUGCUGGGUUUGAUGGCGACCGGCGCACGGGUGAGUAACGCGUAUCCAACCUGCCCUUUACUCCGGGAUAGUCUCCUGAAAGGGAGUUUAAUACCGGAUGUGUUUGUCUUUCCGCAUGGGAGCGACAAAUAAAGAUUAAUUGGUAAAGGAUGGGGAUGCGUCCCAUUAGCUUGUUGGCGGGGUAACGG